rnacentral:other from 1 species
AGUCGGCUGCCCGGCGCGUCAGGACAACAUUCCCCGGGGCCGUAUCUCACUGAAUGGGAGCUGCCUCUGUAGAGGGCCGUGGCCCUCAAUACGCGGCGCCCACCUGGUCCUUAGGGUCCAGGGCGAAUAAAAGUCCGACGGCCAGGGCGGCGCAAUU